rnacentral:rRNA from 1 species
AUUGAACGCUGGCGGCAUGCCUUACACAUGCAAGUCGAACGGUAACAGGUUAAGCUGACGAGUGGCGAACGGGUGAGUAAUGUAUCGGAACGUGCCCAGUCGUGGGGGAUAACUGCUCGAAAGAGCAGCUAAUACCGCAUACGACCUGAGGGUGAAAGCGGGGGAUCGCAAGACCUCGCGCGAGUGGAGCGGCCGAUAUCGGAUUAGGUAGUUGGUGGGGUAAAGGCCUACCAAGCCUACGAUCUGUAGCUGGUCUGAGAGGACGACCAGCCACACUGGGACUGAGACACGGCCCAGACUCCUACGGGAGGCAGCAGUGGGGAAUUUUGGACAAUGGACGCAAGUCUGAUCCAGCCAUGCCGCGUGCGGGAAGAAGGCCUUCGGGUUGUAAACCGCUUUUGUCAGGGAAGAAAAGGUUCUGGUUAAUACCUGGGACUCAUGACGGUACCUGAAGAAUAAGCACCGGCUAACUACGUGCCAGCAGCCGCCGUAACAC